GCCCCCAUCGUCUAGAGGCCUAGGACACCAGCCUUUCAAGCUGGCGACAGGGAUUCGAAUUCCCUUGGGGGCACUA
rnacentral:tRNA from 1 species